GACGAAAGCUUAGCUUUAGUGGCAAACGGGUGAGUAACACGUAAGAAUCUGCCUUCAGGAGGGAAAUAACAUUUGGAAACGAUUGCUAAUGUCCCAUAUGCUGAAAAGUGAAAUAAUUUUUGCCUGAAGAUGAGCUUGCGCCUGAUUAGCUAGUUGGUAAGGUAAUGGCUUACCAAGGCUACGAUCAGUAGCUGGUUUGAGAGGAUGAUCAGCCACACUGGAACUGAGACACGGUCCAGACUUCUACGGAAGGCAGCAGUGGGGAAUUUUCCGCAAUGGGCGAAAGCCUGACGGAGCAAUACCGCGUGAGGGAUGAAUGCCUGUGGGUUGUAAACCUCUUUUAUCAGGGAAGAAUAUUGACGGUACCUGAUGAAUAAGCAUCGGCUAACUCCGUGCCAGCAGCCGCGGUAAUACGGGGGAUGCAAGCGUUAUCCGGAAUUAUUGGGCGUAAAGAGUCUGUAGGUUGUUUAAUAAGUCUGCUGUUAAAUAUUAGAGCUCAACUCUAAAAAAGCAGUAGAAACUAUUAAACUGGAGUAUGGUAGGGGCAAAGGGAAUUCCCAGUGUAGCGGUGAAAUGCGUAGAUAUUGGGAAGAACACCAGAAGCGAAGGCGCUUUGCUGGGCCAUAACUGACACUCAGAGACGAAAGCUAGGGGAGCAAAUGGGAUUAGAUACCCCAGUAGUCCUAGCUGUAAACGAUGGAUACUAGAUGUUGCGCGUAUCGAUCCGUGCAGUAUCGUAGCUAACGCGUUAAGUAUCCCGCCUGGGAAGUAUGCUCGCAAGAGUGAAACUCAAAGGAAUUGACG
rnacentral:rRNA from 1 species